CCUACGGGAGGCAGCAGUGAGGAAUAUUGGUCAAUGGACGAGAGUCUGAACCAGCCAAGUAUCGUGAAGGAUGACUGCCCUAUGGGUUGUAAACUUCUUUUAUAUGGGAAUAAAACGUUCCACGUGUGGGAUUUUGUAUGUACCAUAUGAAUAAGGAUCGGCUAACUCCGUGCCAGCAGCCGCGGUAAUACGGAGGAUCCGAGCGUUAUCCGGCUUUAUUGGGUUUAAAGGGAGCGUAGGUGGAUUGUUAAGUCAGUUGUGAAAGUUUGCGGCUCAACCGUAAAAUUGCAGUUGAAACUGGCAGUCUUGAGUACAGUAGAGGUGGGCGGAAUUCGUGGUGUAGCGGUGAAAUGCUUAGAUAUCACGAAGAACUCCGAUUGCGAAGGCAGUUCACUGGACUGCAACUGACACUGAGGCUCGAAAGUGUGGGUAUCAAACAGGAUUAGAUACCCUGGUAGUC
rnacentral:rRNA from 1 species